UACGAAGGGGGCUAGCGUUGUUCGGAAUUACUGGGCGUAAAGCGCGCGCAGGCGGUCUUGCAAGUCAGUGGUGAAAGCCUGGAGCUCAACUCCAGAACUGCCAUUGAAACUGUUGGACUUGAGUACGAGAGAGGUGAGUGGAAUUCCCAGUGUAGAGGUGAAAUUCGUAGAUAUUCGGAAGAACACCAGUGGCGAAGGCGGCUCACUGGCUCAUACUGGACGCUGAGGUGCGAAAGCGUGGGGAGCAAACAGG
rnacentral:rRNA from 1 species